rnacentral:rRNA from 1 species
CAGUAGCCGCGGUAAUACGUAGGGGGCGAGCGUUGUCCGAAGUUACUGGGCGUAAAGAGCGCGUAGGCUGGUCUUUAAGUGAGUGGUGAAAGGUUCGGGCUCAACCCGGACACUGCCUUUCAUACUGGGGACCUUGAGUGUGGGAGAGGCGAGUGGAAUGGUCGGUGUAGCGGUGAAAUGCGUAGAUAUCGGUCGGAACACCCAUGGCGAAGGCAGCUCGCUGGCCUAACACUGACGCUGAGGCGCGAAAGCGUGGGGAGCAAACAGGAUUAGAUACCCGCGUAGUCCCUGUCUCUUAUAC